AUUUUUACAAGACAUAAGUGAAUGACAUGACAUGUAUGGCAUUGUUAUACUAUUGACAUUAUGCAAAUAAGACAUAGUAAAAAAAUACAAGAUAGUGGUGUGAAUAUUCAGUAUAUGAUACGUCUUAAGAAUACUUUGGAAUACAUUAUACUAUAACAAUAUUAAAAAAUAAAUUUAAUUAAAUAGCUUUCAUAAAUUCCCC
rnacentral:lncRNA from 1 species